rnacentral:rRNA from 1 species
UACGGAGGGGGCUAGCGUUAUUCGGAAUUACUGGGCGUAAAGCGCACGUAGGCGGACCGGAAAGUUGGAGGUGAAAUCCCAGGGCUCAACCUUGGAACUGCCUUCAAAACUUCUGGUCUUGAGGUCGUGAGAGGUAAGUGGAAUUCCGAGUGUAGAGGUGAAAUUCGUAGAUAUUCGGAGGAACACCAGUGGCGAAGGCGGCUUACUGGCACGAUACUGACGCUGAGGUGCGAAAGCGUGGGGAGCAAACAGG